GCCUACGGGGCGCAGCAGUCGAGAAUCAUUCACAAUGGGGGAAACCCUGAUGGUGCGACGCCGCGUGGGGUAAUGAAGGUCUUCGGAUUGUAAACCCCUGUCAUGUGGGAGCAAAUUAAAAAGAUAGUACCACAAGAGGAAGAGACGGCUAACUCUGUGCCAGCAGCCGCGGUAAUACAGAGGUCUCAAGCGUUGUUCGGAAUCACUGGGCGUAAAGCGUGCGUAGGCUGUUUCGUAAGUCGUGUGUGAAAGGCGCAGGCUCAACCCGCGGACGGCACAUGAUACUGCGAGACUAGAGUAAUGGG
rnacentral:rRNA from 1 species